rnacentral:rRNA from 1 species
GGGCCCGCACAAGCGGCGGAGCAUGUGGCUUAAUUCGAUGCAACGCGAAGAACCUUACCUGGGUUUGACAUGCAGGGAAAUCUCGUAGAGAUACGGGGUCCGUAAGGGCCUUGCACAGGUGGUGCAUGGCUGUCGUCAGCUCGUGUCGUGAGAUGUUGGGUUAAGUCCCGCAACGAGCGCAACCCUCGUCUUAUGUUGCCAGCACGUAAUGGUGGGGACUCAUAAGAGACUGCCGGGGUCAACUCGGAGGAAGGUGGGGAUGACGUCAAGUCAUCAUGCCCCUUACGUCCAGGGCUUCACGCAUGCUACAAUGGCCGGUACAAAGGGCUGCGAUACCGCAAGGUGGAGCGAAUCCCAAAAAGCCGGUCUCAGUUCGGAUUGGGGUCUGCAACUCGACCCCAUGAAGUCGGAGUCGCUAGUAAUCGCAGA